AGGAGAUCUAACACAACAUCCACACCAGGCAGAUGCCAGGAGCAGCCAACCACAACCUCCAGCUAUCACUCUCAUCAAGCACCAAGAGCCCCAGUCACAUCAGCAGUCUCCUGAGGCUGUCCUCGCCCUCAACGUCGCCGCCGUCAUAGCUCAUAUCAAACUCCAGAGACAACUGAGCCUGAGGAAGACAACACCACAUGACCUUUCUACACAGGACUCAAGGUCACCCACAACACCGGAGGGGGGAAAAGCACUGGUGAAGGAUGCUGGUGGUUGUGUGCGACACAGGACUGAUGACAACAGACUAGACCCUGGUAAGACCACCAGAACCACACACAUUGAUGUUGGGUUUAUUCCCCUGAAUUCUGACUCUGACCCGGAAACAAGCAACGCCAACAUUCCAUC